rnacentral:rRNA from 1 species
GAUGAACGCUAGCGAUAGGCCUAACACAUGCAAGUCGAGGGGCAUCACAUGAAGUAGCAAUACGGAUGGUGGCGACCGGCGCACGGGUGAGUAACACGUAUGCAACCUGCCUUCAACAAGGGGAUAACCCGUUGAAAGACGGACUAAUACCCUAUAACACAGGGGUCCCGCAUGGGAAUAUUUGUUAAAGGACAACCGGUUGAAGAUGGGCAUGCGUUCCAUUAGCUAGUUGGCGGGGUAACGGCCCACCAAGGCAACGAUGGAUAGGGGAACUGAGAGGUUUAUCCCCCACACUGGUACUGAGACACGGACCAGACUCCUACGGGAGCAGCAGUGAGGAAUAUUGGUCAAUGGACGCAAGUCUGAACCAGCCACGUCGCGUGAAGGAAGACGGCCCUACGGGUUGUAAACUUCUUUUAUACGGGAAUAAAGUGCCCCACGCGUGGGGUUUUGCAUGUACCGUAUGAAUAAGGAUCGGCUAACUCCGUG